UGGCAGUUAAAGAACAGAAACAGAGCAAUAAGACUGCAUGGCUACAUUUUUCCAGUGCCACCAACUGGGAGUUAAACUGACUAACAUUUUGAAAGCCCAGCCCAUUUCCUUCACAGCAGGCCGGGCAGG
ensembl:misc_RNA